UAGAUCCUACCACAAGUAGAGAUUGAAUAUAUUUUUUUAAAUUGUCAAACUCAGUGCAAUCUUGGCUUUGCCGUGAAAUCAAAACACUUGCGUCGAUGCCUUUUCAAAAACGAACCUGUGUAAGGCAUUCUUAAAAGGACAGCAUCAUCCAAUAAGUUGACACACAGCUCUCUGAUUUCAUUCCACAUCUCUUGUACUAUCGCUUGUCUGUCAUCAUGGCUCCAACCACAAUUAAUUGCAUUACGAAUAAGAUUACCAAAGGUUCGGCUGAGAUAAAUUCUGAUGCAAUAUAGAAGAUGUUUGACAGGACUUCAAUUGCCAUUCCCCUAUGUUCGUUGGAUGACAGGUGCUUAAAGUAUGUUAUGACAGGUUUGCUGUCAACACAGUGAAGACACAGCAAAAAGGCCGCCGCUGAUCGAGUUGGCCAUAAGGUCGGUAACCCUAGAAGUACAAUGUAAGAGAACCAUUCAACAUAAUUACUUUGAAUCUAAGGCUACCUGUCAGGGAUUGGAUUACAUCCACCACUUCCUGGGGUUGGAGAGGCGCAUACAGUAGAAGAAGUAGCUUAGCUAAAUCCUGGGGAUCCGUCAAUUCUGGGCAAUCAAAGACGAUUCCUAUCCACAUUGACCUGUCACAGGGUGCAGCGAAAUCCAAGAAAAGUGAACGCAGAUAUAUUCGCAGACUUCUUUCAACGUUUGCGUUUGUAGAAAUAGGAUUUUUCAUGUAGUCGGCCAGCUAAAAUAAAAAACAGCUUAAGAAAUUUUAAUUCAAAACAUCAAGGGAAUUUUUAGAAGACCGUUGAGCCAAUAUUGUUCCAUUGGCAUAAAAGAGAGUAGACCUUCGUACACUCGCGUUUAUCCCAACCAGAUAUCAGUGAAUGGAGGAUUACUCCAGCACUUGCUGCGAUUAAAUGUGGCUCGUAAUCCGGAGACCGCUCCACAAUUCCACGCUUUACCUUUUGUUGUCCAACAGAAAUAUGACAACGGUUUUGUUGUGGUGAAAUGUUUCUCUUUGUUUCUUUGUUUAAAAGUAAAUACCUCGGUAGUUAACUGGUAGUAAAGUCCCAAUCUUUGAGGGGUGGGAAAGAGGCAGGUCAACAAUUUGAGAAGUACGCCCGUCCGUUGACAUUCGGUAUGAAGUUCACUUGGCAAAGAGAGCUUUCCGUUCCAUGUUUUUUGUGAUGAAGUUAGCCUAGUACGUA